GACGAACGCUGGCGGCGUGCUUAACACAUGCAAGUCGAACGGAAAGGCCUUUUCGGAGGUACUCGAGUGGCGAACGGGUGUGUAACACGUGGGUGAUCUGCCCUGCACUCUGGGAUAAGCCUGGGAAACUGGGUCUAAUACCGGAUAGGACCGCACUUUAGUGUGUGUGGUGGAAAGUUUUUUCGGUGUAGGAUGAGCCCGCGGCCUAUCAGCUUGUUGGUGGGGUAAUGGCCUACCAAGGCGGCGACGGGUAGCCGGACUGAGAGGUUGGUCGGCCACAUGGGGGCUGAGAUGCGGCCCAGACUGCUACGGGAGGCAGCAGUGGGGAAUAUAGCACAAUGGGCGAAAGCCUGAUGAAGCGACGCCGCGUGGGGGAUGACGGGCUUCGGGUUGUGAGCUCCUUUCGCCAGGGACGAAUCAUUUUGUGACGGUACCUAGAGAAGAAGCACCGGCUGACUACGUG
rnacentral:rRNA from 1 species